AGCAGGGGGCUGGGCGUGCUGUCCAUCCCUCCUCCCAUCCCUCUGUCCGUCUGUCUCCCCGCGGGAGGUGAUCCAGCAGCAGAAGGAGGGCUGCCAUCCAUGGGUGGGGCACUCCCUGAAGCUAUCAGUUCCUCGAUAUUUGGCACAGCAGUGGUUAAAGGCUCAGCACUGGCAUUGGCAUCUCUCUUUUCUCCAAAUCUGGUCCCACCCUGUCUGUGUGCCAGUAAUCAACAGGGAACCCUGCAGCAGUGACACUGUGCCAGCCGAGGUGCCCGGAGCCCCAGGCAUGGCGG